rnacentral:rRNA from 1 species
GACGAACGCUGGCGGCGUGCUUAACACAUGCAAGUCGAACGGAAAGGCCCUGCUUGCAGGGUACUCGAGUGGCGAACGGGUGAGUAACACGUGGGUGAUCUGCCCUUCACUUCGGGAUAAGCCUGGGAAACUGGGUCUAAUACCGGAUAGGAGCCAUUUUUAGUGUGAUGGUUGGAAAGUUUUUUCGGUGUAGGAUGAGCUCGCGGCCUAUCAGCUUGUUGGUGGGGUAAUGGCCUACCAAGGCGGCGACGGGUAGCCGGCCUGAGAGGGUGGACGGCCACAUUGGGACUGAGAUGCGGCACAGACUCCUACGGGAGGCAGCAGUGGGGAAUAUUGCACAAUGGGCGCAAGCCUGAUGCAGCGACGCCGCGUGGGGGAUGACGGCCUUCGGGUUGUAAACUCCUUUCGCUAGGGACGAAGCUUUUUGUGACGGUACCUAGAUAAGAAGCACCGGCUAACUACGUG